rnacentral:lncRNA from 1 species
AUGAACAGGGUGCUUAGCUCCUCUACAAGGAGAGAAAAAACAAAGCCUGGUGGAGCGGGGGCAGGCGAGGAGGCUCUCCACAACAGGAAUUCAGGGGCUGCAGAUGUCCUGGUUAAGAGAGACCAGCCACUCUUGAAAGGAGGAACACAGUGGCUUUGGAGCACCAUGCAGAACAUAUGCAGGCAGCUCCUUACUGGUGAAGAAAGCUUCCACAUACCAGUAAGACCUUCCGUCCAUCCAAAGCACCAUUCUGCAGUGGGAUGAUGGGAUUUGAUGGACAAGGAGGGGAGUCAUCUGUUCAACUUGAGAGAGUGUAAUCAGACCCAUAGGUAUCAUUGUAAAAAUCAGAAGCAUGCUGAACCAUAAAAGGUUUUGAUUGCAGCUGUGUUUUGUGUCUUCUCCAUACUCAUCCUAAUCACCUGACUAAACUUCAGAAUCACUUUUCCUAUAAGCAGAUGGAAAAUCCCAGCCCAUCGCAGCACUGGAGAACUCAGACGGGCUGGAAGAAGCAGGAAAAAUAAACUGGAGGAAGUGGGAAAAAAUAAAAUAUUU